AACGAACGCUGGCGGCAUGCCUAACACAUGCAAGUCGAACGGGAUCCUAGCUUGCUAGGUGAGAGUGGCGGACGGGUGAGUAACACGUGGGAAUCUGCCUUUUGGUUCGGGAUAACCGCGGGAAACUGCGGCUAAUACCGAAUGCCCUCGUGAGAGGAAAGAUUUAUCGCCAGAAGAGGAGCCCGCGUCCGAUUAGGUAGUUGGUGGGGUAAAGGCCUACCAAGCCGACGAUCGGUAGCUGGUCUGAGAGGAUGAUCAGCCACACUGGGACUGAGAUACGGCCCAGACUCCUACGGGAGGCAGCAGUGGGGAAUAUUGGACAAUGGGGGCAACCCUGAUCCAGCAAUGCCGCGUGAGUGAUGAAGGCCUUAGGGUUGUAAAGCUCUUUGCCAGGGAAGAUGAUGACUGUACCUGGAGAAUAAGCCCCGGCUAACUUCGUGCCAGCAGCCGCGGUAAU
rnacentral:rRNA from 1 species